CACGGGGGGAGCAAGCGUUGUCCGGAAUUACUAGGCGUAAAGGGCAAGUAGGCGGAAUGGUCAGUCAGAUGUUAAAGGCACCGGCUCAACCGGUGUAAGGCAUUUGAUACUGCUAUUCUAGAGUAAGGUGGGGGAAGACAGAAUUCCUGGUGUAGCGGUGGAAUGCGCAGAUAUCAGGAAGAAUACCAGUGGCGAAGGCGGUCUUCUAUACCAUUACUGACGCUCAAUUGCGAAGGUGUGGGUAUCGAACAGGAUUAGAUACCCUGGUAGUCCACACAGUAAACGAUAUGCACUAGGUGUUGGGGGAGAUAAUCCUUCAGUGCCGCAGCUAACGCGUUAAGUGCAUCGCCUGGGGAGUACGAUCGCAAGGUUAAA
rnacentral:rRNA from 1 species